rnacentral:rRNA from 1 species
GACGAACGCUGGCGGCGUGCCUAAUACAUGCAAGUCGAACGCUUCUUUCCUCCCGAGUGCUUGCACUCAAUUGGAAAGAGGAGUGGCGGACGGGUGAGUAACACGUGGGUAACCUACCCAUCAGGGGGGGAUGACACUUGGAAACAGGUGCUAAUACCGCAUAACAGUUUAUGCCGCAUGGCAUAAGAGUGAAAGGCGCUUUCGGGUGUCGCUGAUGGAUGGACCCGCGGUGCAUUAGCUAGUUGGUGAGGUAACGGCUCACCAAGGCCACGAUGCAUAGCCGACCUGAGAGGGUGAUCGGCCACACUGGGACUGAGACACGGCCCAGACUCCUACGGGAGGCAGCAGUAGGGAAUCUUCGGCAAUGGACGAAAGUCUGACCGAGCAACGCCGCGUGAGUGAAGAAGGUUUUCGGAUCGUAAAACUCUGUUGUUAGAGAAGAACAAGGACGUUAGUAACUGAACGUCCCCUGACGGUAUCUAACCAGAAAGCCACGGCUAACUACGUG